rnacentral:misc_RNA from 1 species
AAAAAUUAAAUUAAAAAAUAAAAAUUAUAAAUUUUUCAUGCAUACAUUAUGAUAAUUAUUAUAUUAAAACACUAAUUAAAAAUAAUGAAUACGCAUUUGCUUUGCUGAUAGAACUAAUUCUCUCUAAAAGGAAAAUUGUUCUCUUGAAGUCGUAACAAGAUUACAAAGCUGCUCAAUUCUUUCCACACCUUUUCAAAGGUCACAGCCCCAUGAAACUUAACGUCCUAUAUGCUGCUGCAUUGCUGCCUGUGACCAUAUUGCUGCUACUUGGGAUCCUUCUUUUGGGAAAGCAAUGAGAAUCCUGUUUAGCGUUAAGUUUGCACUCAUCAACAUAGCUUCUGCCGUAGUUUUGAAAUAGUCAGGUCUGCACCUCCAAAACCAUCCAUUACAGCUUUCGCUGAAGGGAACUCAGCUCUAGACGUCAAACUACUCCGGAGGACAACACAGGGCAUGCCAAUUUGCCCAGCUGCAGCCACUCCAGAUUGGCUUCCGGCAACAAGGACACAAUUGUUUACAGAUACUCCAACAUACUCUGCACCAGCACGCAAUGCAGCUACAAUCUUCACUAGGCUUUCAGUUGAGCUAGUAUCAAUCUGAACACUCAACUUUAGAAUUGAUGCAACCUCCUCAGCUAUCUUUUGUUUCUCAGCAGAAACUGCUUUUCUUGCUUCCAAAGCUAGCUGCUCAUCCAAACCAGACAACACUCCACUACUAAGCACAAGUUGUCCAUAUAAACUCUUUUUCACUUCCACAUUACCAAUAAUCUUUAUCUUUGUAGUUUUUUCAUGCCCAAGCUUGUUUACAAUGGAUCUAACAAUUUCAACAAAUUAAAAAAUCUAUAAGCAUGCUCCAUUUUUACCCAAAAAGGAUACAGAAUUGUCACUAAUUGACAGAAAGCUCAAGGAUGCAUGUAUUCACUUAUUUCAGUAUGGAAGAAUGGCGCGUUCCAUUAAGGUUGCCAAAGAACCUACCAAAGCAGCUAUUUUCAGUUCAUAAGUGAAGAAUGAGAUUACGUGAGUCCUUUCAGAGCUAAUCCUGAUACUAGGUUCAAGUCUAUUGAAGUCGAUGCAUGCAGGAUCUUGACUUACUUGAAGUUCUGAUAAUUAUGAAUCAUUAAAACUAAUUCACCAUUCAGAGCAACAUUGAAAAAUAAUCAAUGUCUGAUAACAUUGAUAUUGUAAUGCUUAUAUCUGGUCCAUAAUCAAUCCUUACAAGAAAUAAAUGCUGACAAAACCUCUGCACUGGAAGCACUGUUUCAGAUAAGCUAAAGCCCUGAUUUGACUCAAUCUGUAUGAUGCAGCUGAACCACCACUUUCCUUGAAGUGAUGGAAGAUUAGGUGAAAACACAUAAAAUGAGCCAUAUCAAGUUCUUUUGUGCAAUUGCUUUGUUAACAAGUAAACAGCAAAUGUGCAAUAGAAUAUCAAUUUAAAUAGAAUGAUGUACACAUAUAUCAUACAGUUAAGAUCUGAUGUAAAUAAAAUUUCCAUCUUGCAAUUGUGAUGGAGGAAAUCUUUGUUACAGCCUGAUGUGCUCUUUAUUAACUCUUAAACAACAAUGUGCAACACAAUACCAAUUUUAACAAAAUGAAGUGCGUGGAUAUAUCAUACGGUUAUGAGCUGUUGUAAAUGAAUUUUCUACCUUGUGGUUGUGAUGUAGGAUAUCUUUGCUACUGCAUGAUGUGCUUAAGUUUCCAAUAGGAGGAUAAAAAAAAACAUAAUUUAAGGAGAAGUAGGCUAGUAGUGCUGCUUGAGUAGCAUCUGGGCAAUACAUGUCAUUCCCCCAAUCACAAUACUCAAUAUAUUUUAACACAUUAUAAAAUAUCUUUCCCCAAAAAGUGGCCAUACCUUGCAAUAUUUUCCUCACUUUUACCAUAUGCCGUUAGAAUGACCACAGGUAUUCCUUGAUUAGAUGCAUCAUCAAUAAAACUGCAAACAAAAAUUUUCACAUGCAAACUUAAAACAUUCAUGCUAAGAUAAUUGGAGUAUACGAGUCCAUUGAAUAAUUUCAUCAGUGUUAAAACAAGGCAACCAUUAUUGGACAAAUAAAAGAAAGCCACCAUAUAAUCUUUUGAGCUUGUCUAUAAAUUUCAAAUAUGCCCCUUUCUUGUCACAUUUUACAUACCUCUUAAAAGGUUACCAAGAUCAAUCCUUUCUGCAUACUUUUCCAAAAGACUCAUUGUGUUGAGAAAUAGUUAAUCAGUUUAUCAUCAUAAUUUUUGAAAACCAACUUUUGCAGGCAAAAGUGUUUGUCAAAAUUGAGGCAUGAACCACAAACAUUCAAACCCUACUUGAAUUGUAAGUAAUGCCAAAUAUUCUGUGAAAACUGAAUCUUUAAGAAUUUGUUUGCUGGUACAAAACUAGGAUAAUUUUCUGGAAAAUUUUUCUGAUAAAACAGGAACAUAGAGUUUUGAGUUUUAAAUUAACAUUUUUCUAAACAGAAAAUUGAUUUUUUCCAAAAUUUUAACUGACCCUUGGAAAACAGGUUUAGCAUGUUUACCAUUGUUUUACUUUAAAAUAAAAUACCUGCUUUCCAUUUGGAAAACAUGGAUUUCAAUAUUUCCAAUGGCAAUGACAGUGUUUGCUGAACCUUUGGCUAGGAUUUGAACCCCGGCCUCAUGACUUUCC